rnacentral:rRNA from 1 species
CAUAGGUUUGGCCCAGCCUUCCUGUUAACUCUUAAUAAACUUACACAUGCAAGCAUCUACACCCCAGUGAGAAUGCCCUCUAGGUUAUUAAAACUAAGAGGAGCUGGCAUCAAGCACACACCCUGUAGCUCACGACGCCUUGAUUAACCACACCCCCACGGGAAACAGCAGUGACAAAAAUUAAGCCAUAAACGAAAGUUUGACUAAGUUAUAUUAAUUAGGGUUGGUAAAUCUCGUGCCAGCCACCGCGGUCAUACGAUUAACCCAAGCUAACAGGAGUACGGCGUAAAACGUGUUAAAGCACCAUACCAAAUAGGGUUAAAUUCUAACUAAGCUGUAAAAAGCCAUGAUUAAAAUAAAAAUAAAUGACGAAAGUGACCCUACAAUAGCCGACGCACUAUAGAUAAGACCCAAACUGGGAUUAGAUACCCCACUAUGCUUAGCCCUAAACACAGAUAAUUACAUAAACAAAAUUAUUCGCCAGAGUACUACUAGCAACAGCUUAAAACUCAAAGGACUUGGCGGUGCUUUAUAUCCUUCUAGAGGAGCCUGUUCUAUAUCAAUCACUAGU